rnacentral:rRNA from 1 species
UUGUUGGUAAGGUAAAAGCUUACCAAGGCUUCGAUCAGUAGCUGGUCUGAGAGGACGGCCAGCCACACUGGGACUGAGACACGGCCCAGACUCCUGCGGGAGGCAGCAGUGGGGAAUUUUGGACAAUGGGGGCAACCCUGAUCCAGCCAUGCCGCGUGAGUGAAGAAGGCCUUCGGGUUGUAAAGCUCUUUCAGCCGGAACGAAACGGUUACGGUUAAUACCCGUGACUACUGACGGUACCGGAAGAAGAAGCACCGGCUAACUACGUGCCAGCAGCCGCGGUAAUACGUAGGGUGCGAGCGUUAAUCGGAAUUACUGGGCGUAAAGCGUGCGCAGGUGGUUUUGUAAGUCAGAUGUGAAAGCCCCGGGCUCAACCUGGGAACUGCGUUUGAAACUACAAGACUAGAGUGUGGCAGAGGGGGGUGGAAUUCCGCGUGUAGCAGUGAAAUGCGUAGAGAUGUGGAGGAACACCGAUGGCGAAGGCAGCCCCCUGGGUCAACACUGACGCUCAGGCACGAAAGCAUGGGGAGCAAACAGGAUUAGAUACCCUGGUAGUCCAUGCCCUAAACGAUGUCAACUAGUUGUCGGGCCUUUACGGGCUUGGUAACGUAGCUAACGCGUGAAGUUGACCGCCUGGGGAGUACGAUCGCAAGAUUAAAACUCAAAUGAAUUGACGGGGACCCGCACAAGCGGUGGAUUAUGUGGAUUAAUUCGAUGCAACGCGAAAAACCUUACCUACCCUUGACAUGUAUCGAAGCCCGCAGAAAAGCGGGGGUGCCCGAAAGGGAACGAUAACACAGGUGCUGCAUGGCUGUCGUCAGCUCGUGUCGUGAGAUGUUGGGCUAAGUCCCGCAACGAGCGCAACCCUUGUCAUUAAUUGCCAUCAUUUAGUUGGGCACUUUAAUGAGACUGCCGG